GUACUAUUUCUUUUCUUAGUUUCCAAACAUACAAUAAGUUUUGUAUUAAUGGAUCCAUGCACAAGUUUUUUGCCUCUAUUAAUGGAAAUUUGAAAGGACUUAUUUUGGUGCUGAAAAAAAAUUGGUGGAAAAUUAUCAAACAGUUGGUGUGCAAUGAAGGUUCUUGUUGAUUUUGGUUCUGUAGAUUUCAAGAAAAUGUCAGAAAUGCAAAUGCAGAAAGUACUUACUUUGUGGGUUUCAAAGUUGGAUUUUUUCUGCUUAAAAUGGAUUUUUCCGGCGGUUUUUUCAUCAGUUCUUGAUUUCCCGGUGGAUUGACGGCGGUGGACGGUGGUGAUAUUGGCGGGGACGGCUCAAUCUUUUCUCUCUGAAAAUGGUACUUUUGUAUAUCAUUUUGAUCUUGAUUUUCACUUUAUUUUUCUACAAUUAAUUUUGGUGUUUUUUAAUGUUAUUUUUGUUGUAGAGAAUUUGGAAUUAAUUGUAUUAUUAGUAUUAUCUUUUGGAAGAAGAAAAAAAAAAAUACAAUUAUAUAGG